UCAAUUUCUAUGCUGACCAAAUAGAACCUGAACAAAAAUCUUCAAAUGAUGGAAAUAACAAUUCGGAAAUUAAAACUUCAACGAAAGACCAAUCUACCUGCGAAAUUGCAGCCGAAUUUAUAGACUGUUUAUCCAGGCAAAAACGGUGCCCUGUAUUUCAGUAUCCGUAAAGACACAUUUGCCCUGUAUUUCAGUACCUAUCCAUAAAGACACGUCACAAAAACUACUAUUUCCAUUACUACUUUCAACAUAGACGUCGUAUUUCGU